UUCUUUUAUUAUUUAAAACGGGGCAUCAUAAAUCAAUUGCCAAUAAGAAAAAAACUUAAUUAACUCUUUUAAAAUGCCACCCAACAACAAUAAUUUUUUUUAGUACUUUGAAUAUGUAAACACGUGUUCAAUAAGGAAAAGCAGAAGGAAAAAAAAACUGUUGUAUAUUAUCAAAACUGCUCGACCUACAUAUUAAUUAGACAGGUAAUCACACCUGAAUUUGUAAUACCUAAUUUUUGUGUAUCAAAAUAGUAACUGGAUCCUUACUGACGACAUUUCCGCGUCGUGUCGUUGCAAUCCACACGUGACUUUCGUCUACCAAUAGCCAUUCACUCGCUCGACCCACGUGUUUAACCCAUGUAAGCGCAGUACAUACCACAAACCGUUUUAUCAGUUGCUGUUGAUAAAAACUUAACUCGUUUCUAUCUAUCACCUGUACAGGAAGUGACUUCCUGCUUUGGACUAUUGCCAAGUGGUGAUAUUCUCUUCAGGGGCAUAUUGCUGUACGUUCGUGUGUAGAAGCAG